GAUGAACGCUGGCGGCGUGCCUAAUACAUGCAAGUCGAGCGAACGGACGAGAAGCUUGCUUCUCUGAUGUUAGCGGCGGACGGGUGAGUAACACGUGGAUAACCUACCUAUAAGACUGGGAUAACUUCGGGAAACCGGAGCUAAUACCGGAUAAUAUUUUGAACCGCAUGGUUCAAAAGUGAAAGGCGGUCUUGCUGUCACUUAUAGAUGGAUCCGCGCUGCAUUAGCUAGUUGGUAAGGUAACGGCUUACCAAGGCAACGAUGCAUAGCCGACCUGAGCGGGUGAUCGGCCACACUGGAACUGAGACACGGUCCAGACUCCUACGGGAGGCAGCAGUAGGGAAUCUUCCGCAAUGGGCGAAAGCCUGACGGAGCAACGCCGCGUGAGUGAUGAAGGUCUUCGGAUCGUAAAACUCUGUUAUUAGGGAAGAACAUAUGUGUAAGUAACUGUGCACAUCUUGACGGUACCUAAUCAGAAAGCCACGGCUAACUACGUG
rnacentral:rRNA from 1 species